rnacentral:rRNA from 1 species
UCGAGCGGUAACAGGUCCUUCGGGAUGCUGACGAGCGGCGGACGGGUGAGUAAUGCAUAGGAAUCUACCCGGUAGUGGGGGAUAACCUGGGGAAACUCAGGCUAAUACCGCAUACGUCCUACGGGAGAAAGGGGGCUUCGGCUCCCGCUAUCGGAUGAGCCUAUGUCGGAUUAGCUAGUUGGUGAGGUAAUGGCUCACCAAGGCAACGAUCCGUAGCUGGUCUGAGAGGAUGAUCAGCCACAUCGGGACUGAGACACGGCCCGAACUCCUACGGGAGGCAGCAGUGGGGAAUAUUGGACAAUGGGGGCAACCCUGAUCCAGCCAUGCCGCGUGUGUGAAGAAGGCCCUCGGGUUGUAAAGCACUUUCAGCGAGGAAGAACGCCUGGCGGUUAAUACCCGUUAGGAGAGACAUCACUCGCAGAAGAAGCACCGGCUAACUCCGUGCCAGCAGCCGCGGUAAUACGGAGGGUGCAAGCGUUAAUCGGAAUUACUGGGCGUAAAGCGCGCGUAGGUGGCUUGAUAAGCCGGUUGUGAAAGCCCCGGGCUCAACCUGGGAACGGCAUCCGGAACUGUCAGGCUAGAGUACAGGAGAGGAAGGUAGAAUUCC